rnacentral:lncRNA from 1 species
CUUCUUCCUGGGCAGCCACUGCACACGUGAGCCUGAGGGUAGCUGUGUUCCAGCUUUGCACAGAAAGCAGGUUUGGGAGAAUGAAGCCAGAGGCCAAGGAGAGAAUGCGGAAUCCUGGAGUGUUGAAGGCCCUUGUUUUGAUUCCUCGCGUCCUCCAGUCCAUCCUCAUUUUCUGGAGAGGCAGCGUGACCUAACGACGAAAGCCUCCACAACUGGUUUCUGUCGGUGUGAGUCCCAAAUCUGCCACUGGCUGGCUGGGAAACCUUGGUUUGGACGGAAGCCCAAGCAUCACUGAGCAAAGUCAGUAUCCUCCUAUACCUUGCUACUUAUUCUAAGUGUGUUUCAUGGACCAGCAAAAUGGACCUCAUCUAGGAGCUUGUUGGAAAUGCAGAAUCUCAGCCCGACUUACGGAAUCAGAAUCUACAUGUCAACAAGAUCCCCAGGGGCUGUGUGUGCACAUCAAAGUGUGAGAGUUUUCUGCCCUAGUGCCACUGCUUUAAGAACUACAGCUUGGUCAUCUCUAGAA